rnacentral:rRNA from 1 species
GUGUAUCGUAAGGGGUAGCUUAGAAAUGCAAUUCGGGCGGGGGAGGUUGCUUCGGUAACUGACCUAGCGGCGGACGGGUGAGUAAUGCUUAGGAAUCUGCCAUUUAGUGGGGGACAACAUUCCGAAAGGAAUGCUAAUACCGCAUACGUCCUACGGGAGAAAGCAGGGGAUCUUCGGACCUUGCGCUAAAUGAUGAGCCUAAGUCGGAUUAGCUAGUUGGUGGGGUAAAGGCCUACCAAGGCGACGAUCUGUAGCGGGUCUGAGAGGAUGAUCCGCCACACUGGGACUGAGACACUGCCCACACUCCUACGGUAGGCAGCUUUGGGGAAUAUUGGACAAUGGGCGGAAGCCUGAUCCUGCCAUGCCGCGUGGGUGAGGAAUGCCUUAUGGUUGUAAA